UACGGAGGGUGCGAGCGUUGUCCGGAAUCACUGGGCGUAAAGGGCGCGUAGGCGGCGCGAGGAGUCGGGGGUGAAAGUCCGGGGCUCAACCCCGGAUCGGCCUUCGAGACUCUCGCGCUCGAGCACAGUAGAGGCGGGGAGGAAUUCCGGGUGUAGCGGUGGAAUGCGUAGAGAUCCGGAAGAACACCGGUGGCGAAGGCGGCCCGCUGGGCUGUGGCUGACGCUGAGGCGCGACAGCGUGGGGAGCAAACAGG
rnacentral:rRNA from 1 species